CUCCAGACUCCUACGGGAGGCAGCAGUGGGGAAUAUUGCACAAUGGGGGAAACCCUGAUGCAGCAACGCCGCGUGAGUGAAGAAGUAUUUCGGUAUGUAAAGCUCUAUCAGCAGGGAAGAAAAUGACGGUACCUGAGUAAGAAGCCCCGGCUAACUACGUGCCAGCAGCCGCGGUAAUACGUAGGGGGCAAGCGUUAUCCGGAUUUACUGGGUGUAAAGGGAGCGUAGACGGCGAUACAAGUCUGAAGUGAAAGCCCGGGGCUCAACCCCGGGACUGCUUUGGAAACUGUGUUGCUGGAGUGCUGGAGAGGCAAGCGGAAUUCCUAGUGUAGCGGUGAAAUGCGUAGAUAUUAGGAAGAACACCAGUGACGAAGGCGGAUUACUGGACGACAACUGACGGUGAGGCGCGAAAGCGUGGGGAGCAAACAGGAUUAGAUACCCCUGUA
rnacentral:rRNA from 1 species